GAUAAAGGUCAUACAUGAAUAAAUAUUUACACAGCCAUUAGCGUGCAAAAUAGAUUUAAACGAUUUCUUUAAAAUAAUCAACAAAGAGCUAAGUAGGUCUAACACAUUUGGGAGUCGGGACGUUUGUUUUGAAUAUUUUCAUUAUAUAAUGACGCGGCGGCGCGUUCGGCCGCCGACGCGGCACGCUUUCACUCCGUACGCUAUUAAUUACGUACCUACACGAUUGUUCAGUCAGUGUUAUAUUUACUCAACUGUUUCGACUGCUGAAAAGAUAAAGAAAUAGCUAAAGUGCCGCGCUACACGACGCCCGUAUCUUAUCGCAUCCAUUCUAUUGAUCACUCGUCAUAUAUCGCGAACGGUCGCCUUAUACGGACGACCGGACCACCUUUAUUGUCCAAUUUAACGUGCAGACGUGUACUCUUUUAUAGGCGCGAUGUUACCGGUGAAGUCAUAAUGUGUGUCGUACAAAAAUAGAAUUACAGUGUUUACAGGAAAAUAGUAUCAAUAACUGAGUGUUGCGGUUUGUAAUUGAACGAUAAUGGCGGCUAAAUCGCCUACAGUGAGCGUGAAGUCGCGGGAAAUGAUCGGCGUGGAGCAGUUCAGUCAGCGACGCGAGGUGUUUGACAAGCCGGACGCGAGUACGUGCCGCUGUCGCCCACGAGCCCCGUGCCCACGUACCGGGAGGUGGAGCCCAUCAUCACUCCAAUCACGGCAAAACUACCAGCAACUUCAAGCGCAACACACCUGGGUACUCCAGCAUGCGCGAGUCUAGGACCGACGAACGACAAUUCGAUUUUCGACCACGAAAAUACUCCGACAACUUCACGUCGGAACUUAACCAGAGCGACGAUGUCGACUACAGACACUCGAUGACCGAGAGGACCCGGCGCUUGUCCAAGAUGCGCCGGGACUUCAUGACAUCAAACCUGUACGAGCCGGGAAGCAGCCCUAUUCAGCGAGGAGGUACACGCUCUUCAAUGCCCACUAAUAGUACGUCUCCGAUGAAAUAUGAAAUCGAAAGUCCUAAUUUAUAUAAAUUUCCAUUUGCCGAACCGUAUUUGACGCCGACACCGGUAAGGAGAGUUAUAUUAAGCCUUGAUUCAGACAAAAAGAAAAUGAAGAACGAAGUACAAUACUUUACCGAACAAUCAUUCCCAUACAAAAAUAGACCAUCAAAAAUUAUAUGAAGAGUUGGUAAAAAGAUACUCGCCGCAACGCAAACCAAUCGAUUGGAAACUGCCGCCAACUAGACCAAAAGUGAUAGGUUCUGUCCCAAAAUCGAGUUCAAGCAUAGGCAGUGACGAAAAGAGGGAUGAAGAAAAACCUGAGGAUGAUGAUGUUUUGAAAAGAAACAUAACAAUACUGGGGAAGCUAAUAAAAAUGUUGAUUCCGAAAAUAAGGCUGAAGACGAAAAACCACAAAGUGAAAUUCUCCAAAACGGUCCAGGAUUACUAAGCGACGAAACCGCCAAAAAGGAAGAAAAUGAAAGUGACUCAAAACUUUCCCAACCUGAAUUGGAUGAGAAAAAUGACCGUGUUCCAGAACUUGGCACAAUCCAAAGACAACUGAGUAGAGAGUCGGCGAAAAAACCUCUCGUAGAAAUAAUAGAUUUAACCAUUCCAGAUUUAAUAGAGAAAAUGACAGCGGAAGGCGAAGACUUGGAGAAUCACAAGAAAACGCCGAAAAAAGUAAAAAGAAAGAGGAGUUUCUUAGAUAAACUAUUAGGAAGAAACAAGGAUAAAUAAUUAAUGUGUGUUACUCGAAAAUGGUGCACCGUCGCAAGUCUGCCAAAGAUUAAAUCAAGGUUCUUACGAUACAUGACGGCAAUGUUUGUAAUCUUUUGAUAACUACGAUAGGUAAGGAGUGCUCACUCUUUACCAAUGUAAAAUGAAUUAAUUUUAUGAUAGAUUAUUUAUAUGAAAAUAAUUAAAACCAGUCUUCCUAUGUUUUUUAUCUUAAUGCAUUGGUUGGGUUAUCGCUAGCUGAUAAAACGUUAGUGCCAUGUGACACUCCCUAUCUGCCAAAUUCUUAGUAAGCUUGGUAACAAAUAUCGUGGAAUUAAAGACUACACGGAAUACAAAUUCGUGAUUAGUGAUUUUUUUAUUCAGUCUUAACACAUUAAGCAUGUAUUUUUGUUUAAAAAUACUUAUUAGGCCUGUACACGGUUUUAAUUUAACUCGUUUCUAGGAAGUUAAUUAAUGGUCUAAUUUAUCAACUUGUUUGUAAUAUUAACUUUAAUUAAAUACCUUGUUUCCUGUAAGUAAAUAACUAAAGUUUUUAAAAUAGUUUUCCUUAUUGUUAACGAAUAUUAUGUAAAUAUGACUUGAACCUUAGUUGUAUCAUAAACCAAACAAUUUGCUUAUUAAAAUAUAUUUUACAAUAUAUGUAUA